rnacentral:rRNA from 1 species
AUUGAACGCUGGCGGCAGGUUUAACACAUGCAAGUCGAGGGGAGUUUUGGUGUUUGCUCCAAAACUUAGAGGGGGACGGGUGAGUAGUGGUUAAAAAUCUGCCUAUUAUGGGGGCACAACUUUUCAAACGGAACGAAAAUACCAUUAACAUCCUACGGAAAAAAGCGGGGGAUCUUUGGACCUUGAACUAAUUUAUGACCCUAAAUGGGAUUAGCUAUUUGGGGGGGUAAAGGCCUACCAAGGCCACCAUCUGUAUCGGGGCUGAGAGGAUGAUCCGCCAAACGUGGCACUGAUACACGGCCCAAACUCCUACGGAAGGCAGCGGUGGGAAAUAUUGAACAAUGGGGGAAAGCGUGAUCCAGCCAUGCCGCGUGUGUGAAGAAGGCCUUUUGGUUGUAAAGCACUUUAAACAAGGAGGAGGAGCUUCAGGUUAACACCCUGGAUGCUUGGACUGUUACUCGCAUAAUAAGCACGGGUUAACUCUGUGCCGGCAC